UACGUAGGGUGCAAGCGUUGUCCGGAAUCAUUGGGCGUAAAGCGCGCGUAGGUGGCUUCGUAAGUCCGUUGUGAAAGCCAAAGGCUCAACCUUUGAAAGCCGAUGGAUACUGCGGAGCUAGAGUACGGAAGAGGCGAGUGGAAUUCCUGGUGUAGCGGUGGAAUGCGCAGAUAUCAGGAGGAACACCAAUAGCGAAGGCAGCUCGCUGGGACGUUACUGACACUAAGGCGCGAAAGCGUGGGGAGCGAACAGG
rnacentral:rRNA from 1 species